rnacentral:lncRNA from 1 species
CCUGUGUCCAAAUGUCUCAUAGGAUGCUCCCAGGAACGGCUUGAUCCUCGUUUUUGAAACUUCAAGUGCUGGCUAAGUGAAGCUGGUAAAGACCCAGGCUCUGGAGUCGGACUGCCUAGGUUCAAAUCCCAGCUUCACCAUUUGAUCUCAGCAACAGCUGAAGAUCAUGAAGACAGUUCAACAAAGAAAUACAAGCUGGUGGCUUGCACCUGUAAUCCCAGCAACUCCGGA